rnacentral:rRNA from 1 species
GAUGAACGCUGGCGGCGUGCCUAACACAUGCAAGUCGAACGGGCAUGCGCAUGAAACCUAGUGAUUGCGCAUGCGAGUGGCGGACGGGUGAGUAACGCGUGGACAACCUGCCGCAUGCAGGGGGAUACCGGCUGGAAACAGCCGCUAAUACCGCAUAUGCGCACGGCGCCGCAUGGCGCAGUGCGGAAAGGGAGCGAUCCCGGCAUGCGAUGGGUCCGCGUCCGAUUAGCUUGUUGGCGGGGCAGCGGCCCACCAAGGCGACGAUCGGUAGCCGGCCUGAGAGGGCGGACGGCCACAUUGGGACUGAGACACGGCCCAG